UACGUAGGGGGCGAGCGUUGUCCGGAGUUACUGGGCGUAAAGGGCAUGCAGGCGGUCCGACACGUUUUGUGUGACAGCGGGUGGCUUAACUACCCGAGGAUACGAAAGACGGUUGGACUUGAGGACUCGAGAGGGACACGGAAUUCCGGGUGGAGUGGUGAAAUGCGCAGAUAUCAGGAGGAACACCAAUAGCGAAGGCAGCUGCGCUGGGACGUUACUGACACUGAGGCGCGGAAAGCGUGGGGAGCGAACAGG
rnacentral:rRNA from 1 species